rnacentral:rRNA from 1 species
UACGUAGGGGGCAAGCGUUGUCCGGAAUCAUUGGGCGUAAAGAGCGCGUAGGCGGUCCGGUAAGUCAGCUGUGAAAGCCGGGGGCUCAACCCCCGGAGGCCGGCUGAUACUGCCGGGCUAGAGUCCGGAAGAGGCGAGUGGAAUUCCUGGUGUAGCGGUGAAAUGCGCAGAUAUCAGGAGGAACACCAAUGGCGAAGGCAGCUCGCUGGGACGGUACUGACGCUGAGGCGCGAAAGCGUGGGGAGCAAACAGG